rnacentral:rRNA from 1 species
UGAGCAAUCUGCCCUUCUCAUCGGAAUAAGCGUUGGAAACGACGUCUAAUGCCGAAUACGACCUCCUUUCGCAUGAUCGGAGGUGGAAAGCUCCGGCGGAGAAGGAUGAGCUCGCGGCCUAUCAGCUAGUUGGUGUGGGUAACGCUCACCAAGGCGACGACGGGUAGCCGGCCUGAGAGGGUGACCGGCCACACUGGGACUGAGACACGGCCCAGACUCCUACGGGAGCAG